rnacentral:rRNA from 1 species
UACGAAGGGGCUAGCGUUGCUCGGAAUCACUGGGCGUAAAGCGCACGUAGGCGGAUUGUUAAGUCAGGGGUGAAAUCCUGGAGCUCAACUCCAGAACUGCCUUUGAUACUGGCGAUCUCGAGUCCGGGAGAGGUGAGUGGAACUGCGAGUGUAGAGGUGAAAUUCGUAGAUAUUCGCAAGAACACCAGUGGCGAAGGCGGCUCACUGGCCCGGUACUGACGCUGAGGUGCGAAAGCUAGGGGAGCGAACAGG